rnacentral:rRNA from 1 species
UACGUAGGCAGCGAGCGUUGUUCGGAGUUACUGGGCGUAAAGAGUGCGUAGGCGGUUUUCUAAGUUUGGUGUGAAAUCUCCCGGCUUAACUGGGAGGGUGCGCCGAAGACUGGAAGGCUUGAGUAUGGGAGAGGUAAGCGGAAUUCCUGGUGUAGCGGUGAAAUGCGUAGAUAUCAGGAGGAACACCUGGCGGUGUAGACGGCUUACUGGACCAUAACUGACGCUGAGGCACGAAAGCGUGGGUAGCAACAGG